AUUGCACGCUGGCGGCAGGCCUAACACACGCAAGUCGAGCGAGCUGCGGAGCGGCGAGUAAUGUUCGGGAUCCCGCCUGUUGGAGGUGGAUAACUUCUGGAAAUGGUAGCUACUCCCGCAUACCACCGCAUGUUGCCGGCUGGGAUUGGCUGGUAGGUGGGGUAAUGGCGCACCUAGGCGUCGAUCCCUAGCUGGUCUGAGAGGAUGACCAGCCACACUGCAACUGAGGCACGGUCCAGACGCCUACGGGAGGCAGCAGUGGGGAAUAUUGCCCAAUGGGCGCCAGCCUGAUGCAGCCAUGCCGCGUGUGUGAAGAAGGCCUUCGGGUUGUAAAGCACUUUCCGCGGGGAGGCGUUACCCGCAGAAGAAGCACCGACUAACUCCGUGCCAGCAGCCGCGGUAAUAC
rnacentral:rRNA from 1 species